rnacentral:lncRNA from 1 species
CCAGCAGGGAGUCGAGAUAGGCCGGGGCAGCUCCCACUCCUCUCUCCUGGGCAGGAAUUGCUCUUCCGCCUCCGCGGGAACGGCGAUUUCUGGCUCGGGCUGCGCAGACGGGGCGAGCGCCUGCACUGGGGGGACGGCAGCAGCUACAGCUCCCGUGCCAGCACUGGGCUGGGGCUGCAAAGGAAAAGUCUCUGCAAUCCAUCCUGCCACCGAUGCUGCCUGCACUCUCAGGUAGAAGGAUCCUUCCAAGCCAAAGGGAUUUCUGGAGCAGUCCUAACCUGCAGCCCCUGCAUGCCUUCAGGCCAUCCAUCCAAAAGGAAAAGUGUCUUCUGGACCUUGAGAGAGCCCAGUGAUGUGUUGGCAGCAGAAAUCAGGAAUGGAGAAGGUGAUUCCAGCUCUGCUGGGUGCUGUCCCUCCCCAUUAGACAGGAGAGGAUCAAGCACAUUCCAUCAGCCUUUGCUUCCUCAGGGCAUGAAAUCCCUGAGGAGACAAGGCCACCUCAGGGCAUCAGAUCCCACCUGAGAGAAGGAAAUGCUAAAAACCUCACCAUGGUCUCAGCCACUAAAAUGAGGAACUUUUCUUGUGGGUCCCCAAUACCAUUUCCAACAAAUCCCAGCUGGUGCUGAAAAUUGCAUUCACGUUCAGGGGGCAAAACCAAGAAGGAGUCACUGACAUCUGAGGUAAAAUGAGGGUCCCAUAAAGGUAAAAUUUCUCUUUGCUUUCAACAGAGGCAGAUUUUCAUCUUUUAAGCCCAAAUCUUCUCUGACACACAAAAGAACAUUAAAUACAGAAACCCUUUAGGUCCAGUUUGAAAUAUUUGUUUCUUUGGCAAUUCUGUUUUUACAUGAAGUGUGGUUGGAUGAACACUACUGAAGCACACAAAUACCAAGACUACUACUGCAAACUGCAGAAAUUACUGAAAAUUCUCUUCUACUGGCAGCAAGAGUCAACAUGUCUGAAGGUUUCCUUGUAUGGAGAGUAGUUACACUGAAUGGUUUUGACAUCAAAAUCAACUGGAAAAAAAUGAUUUCAGGUAAAGCGUAGAAAAUGAACACUGUGUUAUGGAUAUAUAUUAUGAUGUUGGCCUUUUGCCUAUAUUAAAAUGGAUUCUAUAAGUGUGGUGUUAAAGUGACUUUGCUGAAAGUACAUAGUUUCUAUUUUUGUUGCUAACUAAAACUUGGAAAUAGCUGAUCUAGACAUGCUCGUGGUAAAAUGCCUGCUUGGUUGAGAUAAUAUCCAAGGAAUAUAUGAUGCCAACUAUCAGCACUCAUCUUCUGAAGGCAGUGUGGACCCAGGCCCAAGAACUGAAGGUGAUGAUAAAAUUAAAUAAAACCACAACCAAGUGGUUUUAGUUAAUUUUA